CCUAAUUGUCUAACGGACUUCAUUGAUCGUAAAGUUCAUACGAUCGGCUACGAUCAACGAUCAAUCGUAACUUUACAUUGGUAUUGUCUAAUUUAGUUCAUUAUAUGAAGACCGGAUGGUGAACGAUGAACUGAAAUCAUUCAUGAAGAUUGCGUAUUGUUUAUGCAAAAUGAUAGUGAAACUAUCGUUAAUAAUAUUAUCAAAUUUAUGUCAAACUCCAUAAUAAUGCAUAUAUUUUAACAAAGUUUUAUGUCUUUUGUUUAAAACAUUAAAGAAGCAUUAAAUUUCACGACAAAUAUCUACUAUUGAAGACAAUAGCGUGAGAAAAUGGUACAUGCAACUCAAGUAACAAAACGCAAUUAACGAAUUUAACCAAGGGCUAUUUGGACUAUUUGGUAAUCUCCCUGUUGUCUGUGUAGGCUAGUGUCAAAAUAACGGGGUAUCCUAUUAGUCUGUGGUGAAACAUAGCAUAUUAAUAACCUGUGGAUGUGGAUUAGAAAUUUAAAUUUUAUAAACAAAACAAAGUUUUUAUUAAUAAAAAAUUUAAUUUAGAAAUUGAGCAAAGUUUUACUAAAUUAUAGUGAUCUUAGGAGCAAAGUUUACUUCGUUUGUGUUAUUGUUAAUCAAAAAUAUAAAAACUAAAUUGAUUAUUAUGAACAGACCAUUAUGAUGAACCACUGAUAUUGACUCAGAGACAUGAAGAUGAGUGCUUUGACAACAAGACUGACUAGCUGAGCCAGCUUAAGAAUUAUGUGGUGUGUGUGUGUGUGUAAUCCCAGGAGCUCUCUAUGUCAGCCAUCCAUCUAUAUUCUUACUCAUUUUUGUUAAUUAUAAAAUAAAUUUGAUUAUUUAGUGUGUAACUUCAUUGUACCUAUUCCUGUUAGCUGUUAGAAAGAUAGCAUCUGUAAUAAUUUAUUUACGGUAAAACGUAUUUAAAAAUAAACUUGCUUUAACAUUUAAGUAUGGCCAAUAUGUUGUCAAGUACAGUGGGCAGGGCUGAAUCCAUGAUUGAUGACUGAUCCAUGAUGAUGACUCGUUUUUCUGAUUUAAGAAAAUAUACUAAUCAUCAAAACAGUGUCUGUAAGUACUGUACAGGCUGACUGUUUGGAUGAGAAGUAUAUAUUUGAUUAUUUUUAAGCUUUGUGGUUUCAGGGUUUAAAAAAUGUCUAACUGAAAGUCUAUGUUUACUGUAUUUAUUAUUAUUAUAAUAAAUAAACUUAAAAAAUCUUUUUUUUAUAAACUUCCAACCCCUAUUUCACCCUCAGAGGUGUCAUUUU